rnacentral:tRNA from 1 species
GUCUCGAUGGUGUAGUGGAUCGCAUCGAACUCUCCGAAGGUUCAGGUCCAGGUUCGAUUCCUGGUCGAGACG